rnacentral:rRNA from 1 species
UGACUNGAGUGCAGAAGGGGAGAGUGGAAUUCCAUGUGUAGCGGUGAAAUGCGUAGAUAUAUGGAGGAACACCAGUGGCGAAAGCGGCUCUCUGGUCUGUCACUGACGCUGAGGCUCGAAAGCGUGGGUAGCGAACAGGAUUAGAUACCCUGGUAGUNCACGCCGUAAACGAUGAGUGCUAGGUGUUAGGCCCUUUCCGGGGCUUAGUGCCGGAGCUAACGCAAUAAGCACUCCGCCUGGGGAGUACGACCGCAAGGUUGAAACUCAAAGGAAUUGACGGGGGCCCGCACAAGCGGUGGAGCAUGUGGUUUAAUUCGAAGCAACGCGAAGAACCUUACCAGGUCUUGACAUCCCGAUGCUAUUCUUAGAGAUAGGAAGUUACUUCGGUACAUCGGAGACAGGUGGUGCAUGGUUGUCGUCAGCUCGUGUCGUGAGAUGUUGGGUUAAGUCCCGCAACGAGCGCAACCCUUAUUGUUAGUUGCCAUCAUUAAGUUGGGCACUCUAGCGAGACUGCCGGUAAUAAACCGGAGGAAGGUGGGGAUGACGUCAAAUCAUCAUGCCCCUUAUGACCUGGGCUACACACGUGCUACAAUGGUCGGUACAACGAGUUGCGAGCCGGUGACGGCAAGCUAAUCUCUGAAAGCCGAUCUCAGUUCGGAUUGGAGGCUGCAACUCGCCUCCAUGAAGUCGGAAUCGCUAGUAAUCGCGGAUCAGCACGCCGCGGUGAAUACGUUCCCGGGCCUUGUACACACCGCCCGUCACACCACGAGAGUUUGUAACACCCGAAGUCGGUGAGGUAACCUUUUAGGGGCCAGCCG